rnacentral:rRNA from 1 species
UGGAGCAAUCCAUGAGUAAAGUGGCGCACGGGUGAGUAACACGUGACUAACCUACCCUGGAGUGGGGGAUAACUGAGGGAAACCUUAGCUAAUACCGCAUAAUACCCACGGGUCAAAGGAGCAAUUCGCUUCAGGAGGGGGUCGCGGCCGAUUAGUUAGUUGGCGGGGUAAUGGCCCACCAAGACUGUGAUCGGUAUCCGGCCUGAGAGGGCGCACGGACACACUGGAACUGAAACACGGUCCAGACUCCUACGGGAGGCAGCAGUGGGGAAUUUUGCGCAAUGGGGGAAACCCUGACGCAGCAACGCCGCGUGGAGGAUGAAGUCCUUCGGGACGUAAACUCCUUUCGAUCGGGACGAUAAUGACGGUACCGGAAGAAGAAGCCCCGGCUAACUUCGUGCCAGCAGCCGCGGUAAUACGAGGGGGGCGAGCGUUGUUCGGAAUUAUUGGGCGUAAAGGGUGCGUAGGCGGUUUUGUAAGUCUUAUGUGAAAUCUAUGGGCUCAACUCAUAGACUGCAUGAGAAACUGCAGGGCUUGAGUGUGGGAGAGGUGAGUGGAAUUUCCGGUGUAGCGGUGAAAUGCGUAGAUAUCGGAAGGAACACCUGUGGCGAAAGCGGCUCACUGGACCACAACUGACGCUGAUGCACGAAAGCUAGGGGAGCAAACAGGAUUAGAUACCCUGGUAGUCCUAGCCCUAAACGAUGACUGCUGGGUGUGACGGGUAC